rnacentral:rRNA from 1 species
UACGGGGGGGGCAAGCGUUAUUCGGAUUGAAUGGGCGUAAAGGAUGCGUAGGCGACUUGGUAAAAGCAUAACAAAAUUUCAUCCCAUAAUGGUGAAAGAGUUAUGACUUACGCAAAAGUUAGGAGUUUAACAGGGGUUGGGGGUAUUUUCAGAGGAGGGAUACAAUGCUUCGAGACUGAAAGGAACACCAUAAGCGCAAGCGCCUUUCCGGGUUAGACUGACGUUGAGGCAUGAAGGCGUGGGGAUCAAAUGGGGAU